GGUGGCGUAACUCAGUCGGUAGAGUAAGCGGCUCAUAUCCGCUCUGUCAGGGGUUCGAGUCCCUUCGCCACUA
rnacentral:tRNA from 1 species